CAGCAGCCGCCGCGGUAAUACGAAGGGUGCAAGCGUUACUCGGAAUUACUGGGCGUAAGGCGUGCGUAGGUGGUGGUUUAAGUCCGUUGUGAAAGCCCUGGGCUCAACCUGGGAAUUGCAGUGGAUACUGGAUCACUAGAGUGUGGUAGAGGCUAGUGGAAUUUCCGGUGUAGCAGUGAAAUGCGUAGAGAUCGGAAGGAACAUCUGUGGCGAAGGCGACUAUCUGGGCCAACACUGACACUGAGGCACGAAAGCGUGGGGAGCAAACAGGAUUAGAUACCCCAGUAGUCCCUGUCUCUUAUAC
rnacentral:rRNA from 1 species